rnacentral:rRNA from 1 species
CUAAGACAUGCGAGUCGAGCGUCUCUAGCUAUGUUGAGACGCGGCAGACGGCUCAGUAACACGUGGCUAACCUACCCUCAGGACAAGUACAAACCCGGGAAACUGGGGCUAAUACUCGAUAGGCGAAGGCGCCUGGAAUGGUUCUUCACCCAAAGGGCUUUAGAAACAUGCUUCUAGAGUCGCCUGGGGAUGGGGCCGCGUCCGAUCAGGUUGUUGGUGAGGUAACGGCUCACCAAGCCUAUAACCGGUACGGGCCGUGAGAGCGGUAGCCCGGAGAUGGGUACUGAGACAAGGACCCAGGCCCUACGGGGCGCAGCAGUCGCGAAAACUCCGCAAUGCACGAAAGUGUGACGGGGCUACCCCGAGUGCCGUCCGCUGAGGAUGGCUUUUCCUUGGUGUAACUAGCCGGGGGAAUAAGGAGAGGGNCAGACUGGUGUCAGCCGCCGCGGUAA